rnacentral:lncRNA from 1 species
UGUUUAUUUUGCACAGGUAUUUCACACAGAUCAAGAUUGCGUAAACUUACGAGGACAUUGUAUAGAAUAGGUAACACAGCUCAAGUUUACAUAAAUGUACGAGGACAACAUGCGUUACAAAUGUAACACAGUCUUUGUUUGUAUAAACUUAUGAGGACAUAUCAACACAGAUAAAGUUUCUGUAAACUUAUGAGGACAUCACACAAAUCAAGUUUGCAGCAACACACGAGGACUUAUUGCACAGGUAUUUCACACAUACCAAGUUUGCGCAAUCUUAUGAGGACAUUGUAUUGAAUAGGUAACACAGCUCAAGUUUGCAUAAAUGUACGAGGACAACAUGUGUUGCAAAUGAAACACAGUCUUUGUUUGUAUAAACUUAUGAGGACAUAUAAACUUUAUCUGUUUAUUUUGCACAGGUAUUUAUCUCUUUUAGCGAUCAUGAGGAGUUUAUCUCAACAAGGUUCCACUUUACAUCAUUCAGAUACAAGCAAAUUUAAACACUUCAAGUACACAUGUAGAUCAUUUUCAAAGAUUUGUUUUUAAUAAAACUCAACACUGACAACAGGAACUUGACAUACAUGCAGUUAGUCAUUCAUAAUGCAUAAAUAACUUUUCUCUUACACGUACAAAAUCUCAGAAAUCACCUCUUCAUUUUUCUUAAAUGAUAAUCUACACAAAGUCUGAUCAUUGUGAUCAUUUAUCGAUCAUUAAACACAGAAUUUUCAAAAUGAAUAUAAUCACUAAGAUUGUAAAAAAUCCUUAAAUUAGCAGCAUGUUUCUGCAUUUGUUAAUGUGAUAUUGAAAGAUUUGGUUGUGGUCGAUUGUGCAGACAUUCAGUAAUAAAAAGAAACGUCAAUUUUAAGCAUUUUCUGGAGGUAACCCCCCCC